GGGCCGGUCGUCUAGCCUGGUUAGGACGUUGGCUUUACGAGCCAAAGGUCUGGAGUCCGAAUCUCCACCGGCCCACCA
rnacentral:tRNA from 1 species